GUGCAUUGCUUCUGGUGGAAAACACCCUGUUCUUAAAUGGGAGAAUAAUAUGGCAUGGCCAGGAAAACUUAUUUUGACUGAUAGGGCCCUUUACUUUGAGGCAGUUGGUUUGACAGGGAAAAGAAAAAUAUCAAGAUUGGAUCUUACAGGAGAAGGUUCACACAUAAAGAGAACAAGAGUUGGGCCUCUGGGCUUUGACUUUUUAGAUUCUGCUGUAUCUGUCACUUCAGGGCCUCAGUGAGUCGGAUACAUGGGUAUUAG
rnacentral:misc_RNA from 1 species